GAAAUAUUUGAGAAUGUUUUUAUAUGAACUUGGAGGAUGAAAAAUGAAAAAUUUGUUCUGAAAUUUACGUUGUUACAAGUUAACAUAAUAAUCAUGAUCCACUAACAUGNAUAAUCAUGAUCCCACUAACAUGAUGAUUAUAUCCUUAUUGGUAUAACACUUAUGCUCCCACUAGCUUUGACAUGUAUUCAGAAAUCAGAUGGACUUUCUAGAAAUCAAUACUUAUUGACUUUCUUACCAAAGUUCAUAUUUCUGAUACGUGAUGCUUCGAUAAGCCCAUACACCUUAC
rnacentral:lncRNA from 1 species